ACAGUUGGGAACGACUGCUAAUACCGCAUACGAUCUAACCUCGGCAUCGAGGGAAAGAUGAAAAGGCGGCCUCUAUGUAUAAAGCUGUCACUGAAGGAGGGGAUUGCGUCUGAUUAGCUAGUUGGAGGGGUAACGGCCCACCAAGGCGAUGAUCAGUAGCCGGUCUGAGAGGAUGAACGGCCACAUUGGGACUGAGACACGGCCCAGACUCCUACGGGAGGCAGCAGUGGGGAAUCUUCCGCAAUGGACGAAAGUCUGACGGAGCAACGCCGCGUGAGUGAUGACCGGCUUCGGGUUGUAAAGCUCUG
rnacentral:rRNA from 1 species